rnacentral:rRNA from 1 species
GGUUAAGUUAGAAAGGGCGCACGGUGGAUGCCUUGGCACUAGGAGCCGAUGAAGGACGGGACUAACACCGAUAUGCUUCGGGGAGCUGUAAGUAAGCUUUGAUCCGGAGAUUUCCGAAUGGGGAAACCCACUGUUCGUAAUGGAACAGUAUCUUUACCUGAAUACAUAGGGUACUGAAGGCAGACCCGGGGAACUGAAACAUCUAAGUACCCGGAGGAAGAGAAAGCAAAUGCGAUUUCCUGAGUAGCGGCGAGCGAAACGGAAUUAGCCCAAACCAAGAGGCUUGCCUCUUGGGGUUGUAGGACACUCAACAUGGAGUUACAAAGGAACGGGGUAAAUGAAGUGAUCUGGAAAGAUCCGUCGAAGAAGGUAAAAACCCUGUAGUUGAAACUUCGUUCCCUCCUGAGUGGAUCCUGAGUACGGCGGGACACGAGAAAUCCCGUCGGAAGCAGGGAGGACCAUCUCCCAAGGCUAAAUACUCCCUAGUGACCGAUAGUGAACCAGUACCGUGAGGGAAAGGUGAAAAGCACCCCGGAAGGGGAGUGAAAUAGAUCCUGAAACCGUGUGCCUACAAGUAGUCAAAGCCCGUUAAUGGGUAAUGGCGUGCCUUUUGUAGAAUGAACCGGCGAGUUACGAUUUCAUGC